AAUAGAUGACGCCAUUGACUUUUUCUCGCAUGUUUGACCAUUCGUCUUAUUUAAAAAAUUUAUAUAAUUAUAAUUUAUUUUGUUAUGAGUUGUUUUAUCACUCAUAGUACUUUAAGUGUGAUUUAUAUUUUAUACAUUUACAUAAAAUUUUUGAAUAAGACGAAUAGUCAAACAUAUGAGAAAAAGUCAACGGCAUCAUCUAUU
rnacentral:pre_miRNA from 1 species